rnacentral:rRNA from 1 species
UAUACGACUCUCGGCAAUGGAUAUCUCGGCUCUCGCAUCGAUGAAGAGCGCAGCGAAAUGCGAUACGUGGUGUGAAUUGCAGAAUCCAGCGAACCAUCGAGUCUUUGAACGCAAGUUGCGCCCGAGGCCAACUGGCUGAGGGCACGUCUGCCUGGGCGUCAAGC